CGUACCUCUUCCCCAUUCAUCCAGGAGACUCUCUCCAUGCAGACACUGUACAUAUUGGAAUCUACAGUCUUUACAGUGCUAUAUUCUGUACCACUGGGUUUGAAGUAAACAUUUCACGGCGUACUCACCUGAAGCCUUUUUACCUGAAGCCUUUUUACCUGAAGCCUUUUUACCUGAAGCCUUUUUACCUGAAGCCUUUUUACCUGAAGCCUUUUUACCUGAAGCCUUUUUACCUGCACCAAAAGUCUGAUAUCAAAGUGAACGUUUACACAAUUAGUGUUUGCACAUGUGAAGAGUGAAAGUAAUCAGUUGGUAACUAAGCUUAGCUUGUUUAAUAGUGUUGCUUUGCAUUUGAACACAAUACAUUUUAUUUGUGAAGGUUGUGCCAAAGGUAGAGAAUUGUGGCUUGUGUUUUGCCAAAUGUUUGUGACACAAUUACAAUCUGAGUGUAAAGCAAAACACAUGGCAGUAGUAUUGCAGAUUUGGUGUAUGGUUCUGCUAAAUGAGACACAGAUUUGGUGUAUGGUUCUGCUAAACCAAAUACAGACUUGGUAUAUGGUUCUGCUAAAUUAAUUAUAGGUGUGGGUCAUUGUGCCUCAUUGGCCAGUUUUAGUGUGUCAACAAUUGGGGAAAACUGUCAUAUAAAUUCAUUCCUCCAAAUGAAUGUUAGCUAGCUAAGCUAGGUAUACUAUGAAUAUAACUUUCAUCUGUUCUCCCCAUCAGGAGAGCAUCCAAAAGUGGUUAGUAGCUUUGACUCUAUGUUGACACUGUGAAUUCAGUCAUCCAGUGGCUAGCCACACUAAACCUUGUACAUAUUACCCAUGAAGCAACUGUAAUGACAGUCCACCACAACAUACCCAAAGGUUUCCUGAUUGGCAAGGGGUAGUCUGUGUUUCAUUUAGUUGUAUAUUAAUAAAAGAGAGACCUUACAAAAAAAAUAUUGCCUUUUUGAAGCUGCGUUAAAAGUGCAGUAACUGCAGUCGACUGGCAUUUUGAACGCAGUAAUUGCAGAAGAGCAGUAGUGUACUGCAGUUAAACUGUAUUUAUACUGCACUGUAACUGCAGUUAAACUGCAUAAUUACUGCAGUAAAAAGAGUGUUAUUUUGGACACCGUAUUUGCAGCAUACUGCAGUUAGACUAAACUCUGACUGCAAUCUUUUUUUCGGGAUGGCAACAUGGUCAUCAUUAUUUUGUUUUUGUGAGGUUAACUAUUCAAAUCAACCAUUAUAUUAAUAACGCAAUGUUUUAUAAUUUCAUUAUAAGGACAGUGUUGAUGCUUUAAGCGGAGUUCUGUCCUUUUUAGAUCCAGGAAAGAGAGGCCUGCACUGUUCAGGGCCUGAAACAACGCAGAACCUCUAGUUAGGGAUGAGCAGCUUAUGUGCAGGUUAACAGGGUUUUAUAAUGUUCAAAACACAGUUCGAGGUCAUUGUGAGGUUUUUUUUUUAGUUUAAAUGGGGAAUUGGGCUUCCCUGGAAAUAGUUGUCUGAGGUUGCAAAACUCACCUUGGGAACAAAGGAUCAAUUGUAGGAGUACUGCCAGUGUUCUUCACAGGUCUGCAAUCUAUAUUUCUCAAGGGGAUAAUUGAUGCACUGCCUCUCAACCUAACGUCAAAUACAGUUGAAGUCAGAAGUUUACAUACACCUUAGCCAAACACAUUUAAACUCAGUUUUCCAAGAUUCCUGACAUUUAAUCCUAGUAAAAAUUCCUUGUCUUAGGUCUGUCUUCGGUCAGUUAGGAUCACCACUUUAUUUUAAGAAUGUGAAUUGUCAGAAUAAUAGAGAGCAUUAUUUAUUUCAACUUUUAUUUCUUUCAUCACAUUCCCAGUGGGUCAGAAGUUUACAAACUCAAUUAGUAUUUGGUAGCAUUGCCUUUAAAUUCUUUAACUUGGGUCAAACGUUUCGGAUAGCCUUCCACAAGCUUCCCACAAUAAGUUGGGUGAAUUUUGGCCCAUUCCUCCUGACAAAGCGGAUGCAACUGAGUCAGGUUUGUAGGCCUCUCCUUGCUCACACACGCUUAUUUCAGUUCUACCCACACAUUUUCUAUAGGAUUGAGGUCAGGGCUUUGUGAUGGCCACUCCAAUAACUUAACUUUGUUGUCUUUAAGCCAUUUUGGCACAACUUUGGAAGUAUGCUUGGGGUUGUCCAUUUGGAAGACCCAUUUGAGACCAAGCUUAAACUGAUGUCUUGAGAUGUUGCUUCAAUAUAUCCACAUCAUUUCCCCUCUCAUGAUGCCAUCUAUUUUGUAAAGUGAACCAGUCCCUCCUGCAGCAAAGCUCCCCCACAACAUGAUGCUGCCACCCCCGUACUUCACGGUUGGGAUGGUGUUCCUCGGCUUGCAAGCCUCCCCCUUUUCCCUCCAAACAUAACGAUGGUCAUUAUGGCCAAACAGUUCUAUUUUUGUUUCAUCUGACCAGAGUACAUUUCUUCAAAAAGUACCAUCUUUGUCCCCAUGUGCAGUUGCAAACCGUAGUCUGACUUUUUUUAUGGCGGUUUUGGAGCAGUGGCUUCUUCCUUGCUGAGCAGCCUUUCAGGUUAUGUCGAUAUAUGACUUGUUUUACUGUGGAUAUACAGUGGGGGAAAAAAGUAUUUAGUCAGCCACCAAUUAUGCAAGUUCUCCCACUUAUUUUGUCUGUCAUAGUUGAAGUGUACCUAUGACGAAAAUUACAGGCCUCUCAUCUUUUUAAGUGGGAGAACUUGCACAAUUGGUGGCUGACUAAAUACUUUUUUGCCCCACUGUAGAUACUUUUAAUCCUGUUUCCUCCAGCAUCUUCACAAGGUCCUUUACUGUUGUUCUGGGAUUGAUCUGCACUUUUCACACCAAAGUACAUUCAUCUCUAGGAGACAGAAUGCAUCUCCUUCCUGAGAUUGUUUGUCAUGAUGAAUGUGGUACCUUCAGGCAUUUGGAAAUUGCCCCCAAGGAUGAACCAGACUUUUCUGAAUUUUAUUUUCUGAGGUCUUGGCUGAUUUCUUUGGAUUUUCCUAUGAUGUCAAGCAAAGAGGCACUGAGUUUGAAGGUAGGCCUUGAAAUACAUCCACAGGUACACCUCCAAUUGACUCAAUUGAUGUCAAUUUGUCUAUCGGAAUUUUCCUAGCUGUUUAAAGGCACAGUCAACUUACUGUAUGUAAACUUCUGACCCACUGGAAUUGUGAUACAGUUUCUUAUAAGUAAAAUAUUCUGUCUGUAAACAAUUGUUGGAAAAAUGACUUGUGUCAUGCACAAAGUAGAUGUCCUAACUGACUUGCCAAAACUAUAGUUUCUUAACAAGAAAUUUGCGGAGUGGUUGAAAAACAAGUUUCA